rnacentral:rRNA from 1 species
UACGUAGGGUGCAAGCGUUAAUCGGAAUUACUGGGCGUAAAGCGUGCGCAGGCGGUUGUGUAAGCUUGAUGUGAAAUCCCCGGGCUUAACCUGGGAAUGGCAAUGGAUACUGGCAAGCUAGAGUGCGGUAGAGGGUAGUGGAAUUCCCGGUGUAGCGGUGAAAUGCGUAGAGAUCGGGAGGAACACCAGUGGCGAAGGCGGCUACCUGGACCAGCACUGACACUGAGGCACGAAAGCGUGGGGAGAAAACAGG